AUACCUUUCUCAGCUUUUUGGAUAAGAUAAAGUGUAAUAUUUUUUUCUUAUUAAUUUAAUAUUUGAUACGUGGAUCACAUAUUUACUUUGAUAUUGAAUUUAUUUUUUAUGUGUAUCAAGUAUGAUUGUGUGCCGUCGCAACGUACAUACAUUAUACCAGUGUA
rnacentral:snRNA from 1 species